rnacentral:rRNA from 1 species
AUCUUCCGCAAUGGGCGCAAGCCUGACGGAGCAAUGCCGCGUGAGUGAAGAAGGCCUUCGGGUUGUAAAACUCUGUCCUUAGAGAAGAAAGAGCUAUAUGUGAAUAAUGUAUAGAAGUGACGGUACCUAAGGAGGAAGCCCCGGCUAACUACGUGCCAGCAGCCGCGGUAAUACGUAGGGGGCGAGCGUUGUCCGGAAUCACUGGGCGUAAAGCGCGCGUAGGCGGAUAAUUAAGUCAGAUGUGAAAACUGAGGGCUCAACCCUGAGACUGCAUCUGAAACUGGUCAUCUUGAGUGUAGAAGAGGAGAGUGGAAUUCCUAGUGUAGCGAUGAAAUGCGUAGAUAUUAGGAGGAACACCAGUGGCGAAGGCGACUCUCUGGUCUAUAACUGACGCUGAGGUGCGAAAGCGUGGGGAGCAAACAGG